rnacentral:lncRNA from 1 species
GGGGAGACGCCGGGGGAGGAAGGCAGCCGGGAGAAGGAAAGCUGGGACGGGCCGGGACCACAGGAGCCCCAGCCCCACACAGCAACCACCCGGGCGAGAAAGAAAGAAAGAGCCAGGGAGGCGGGCGAAGCGCGGGGAGAGAAGCAGAGAAGAAAUAUUCACCUUCCCGCCUCAUGCCCACUUUGAGGCACUUCUUGAGGCGGCAGUAUUGGCACUGGUUGCGGUGGUGCUGGUCGAUGGGACAGUUCCUGUUGGCACGGCAUGUGUAAGUUAAGUUCCUGCGGACGCUCCUCUUGAAGAAACUUUUGCAGCCCUCGCAGCAGGUAGAUGAAACUCAAGAGAAAAGGUGUGGAUAAAUGAAACUAGCCCAUGAUGAACCUGUUUUCUCCGUGACCACAAUAUUAACCAGGAUGAAUGGCGGUGGCAGUGGGCCUGCAUCACAGGUUGCAGCAGAUGUUCUCAAUAUUUCUAUUAAAAUUUCCUUAUUUCCAUAUGCAAGAGGAGCCCCAGAGCUGCAUCCUUAUGGUAGCUACCAUGCCGUGAUGUAAGCUGCCAUUCACUGGGGAGCUUUGGCAAUAGAAUUGGCUAGAUCAGGAAGCCUAUGUCAACUAUGGAACAACAACUUGCAGCUCAUCUCUAUUGAUG